GUGAUCGAUGCGAAUACUUUGACAAUAUCUGUUGCAGUUUAAAUAUAAAAGUGAUCAUCUUUGGUUGCUUGACACUAUUUCAAGGCCUUGGUAUUGCAAUUUGCUGUGGCUUUAAAAUAUCAUACAUACAGAACCAUACAACCACUCACUUUAAAAUAAUAGCAGUACUUAUGUUAUUCGCCAUAUUUUAUGCAUAUUCCGGAAUUUUGAUCUUACUUGGAUAUCUUAUGGUAAGAUUACAUGAGAGCUGAGUAAUUACUCAUUUGUAUCUCUUAUCUAAGAAAACGGCAAGUAUAUUUUUCAUUGGGCUGGUACUUGGCGGCGUAACAAUCCUUGGUAGCUCAAUUCCAAUUUUGAGUUGGGUUCUUCAUAUCCUUUUCGCAGUUUGGGCCUACAGAUAUUAUAGAAAAGAACUUGUGGAAAGUGUUGUUGCUAUGGAAAAUGUUGCUAUUGAAAGAGUUUCUUUCUAGUCAUUAACAAUUUACACAAAAAUGUGUACGUCUGAACAAUGCGAGUACUGGGACAAUAUCUGUUGCGGUUUACAUAUAAAGGUGAUCAUCUUUGCUGUCCUGAUUAUAUUAGAAGGCUUCGUUCUUGCACUUUUAUAUGGCCUGGAGAUAGAGCCUCUCAAGAGUGAUGUCACUAUAUUUGUACUGUUAAUGGUAUUUCUAUUAAGCUGCAUAUUUUAUGCAGUCGCUGGAAUUUUGAUCUUAGUAGGAUAUUUUAUGAACUGGGCAAGAACAUUUCUAAUUGGGUUUAUACUGAGCUGCAUUACUGCCGUAUGUGGCUCUUGCUUAAUUUUUGGCUGGGUUCUUCAUAUCCUUUUUGCUAUAUGGGUGUACAGGUAUUAUAGAAAAGCAUUUGUGAACUAAUCUGUGGCAUAGAAUAGAAUAUAUACAUAUGUUAAGCAAAAUAAAUUUUGCUUGUAAUUUUAAUAAAAACUUGAAAUUUUAUGAAAUGCUCGUAUAUAAACGAAGACAACUCAAAGAAACACACACAGACUACAAACUCGAACUGAAUGGAAAUCAUGUUGAGUGCAAAAUUCUCACACUACCGCCUGCGGAUGUUCUGGCAUAUAUAAUGCAUAUGUUGAGGCACGUAACCUGCUCUGGAAGCGAGAGCGUAUGAAUGCACUUGUUCCCACAAAAUUCCGAAGCAUAUUUAGGCAAUUUCCAUGAAGCAAACAACACAACAGAACAGCACAAAAAACAAUUUCACACUCUCGAACAGCAAGAAAUUUGUACUGUGCUGAAAUGCCACUGAACUGAGCAGAAAGGCAGCGUCGGCACAGGGACAGGGUACGGGAA